ACAAUUCUGAUGGACAGGAUGCAACAAGUUUUAAUUAUUUAUGGAAUAGGGACAGUGGAAGAAAAAAAAAAGAGAGAGAGAACUAUUGCAACAUAUUAUCUGGACAAGGAGCGCUGCGCUGUUGUUUUGUUUCUUUUUCUCCUUCUCUGAUCUUAGCUGUACCGAGGGGGAAGUAUACACAUGGUGAAGCAAAGCCAAGUGAUUUGCAAACGGAUGGAUUUGGGGAUAAAGUCCACCCGGAGUUGGCUGACUGACAACAGGCCACAGGUUAAAGAGGCCCUACCCUCUCCAGCGACAGAACCACUGCACAGUCUCCUAGAUUUUGUGCUGGUUAAGGACUUCAGAAGAAAGCACUGGAAGGCGCAGAGGUGGAAAGGUGCUCCUGACAACAUACACAGCGGUAAAAGUUGCUGAAAGAGCUACGUGGAUUCACGCCAGCCACUGCAGGAAGGUGCCUGCACCAGUACAACAAUAGAUCAACAAGCGUGCACAAUCAGCACCUGAACAACGGUUUUCCCUGACCUUGUGUUGUGAGUGAAGGAGGGAUUGGGAACGCUUAGGCACCCUUUGUCUCGGACUCACAGGCUGUUAGACAGCAAACAUAAACACAAGGGAGCUAGUGGGAAAACUCCUGGUCUCACCACUGCUGAUUUAAGUCACGCCGCAAAAAAUUAAGAGUGAGUAGCAUGGUUGUCUCUGGAAGGAGACAUCCAUGGGACCCAGUCAGACACCCAAAUAUGUGUGGCCUACGAGGAGCAACACAGAUGUUUGCUGCCAUUGCAAUAGCAUUAACAGCCUCUGUUGCAGUUCCUAGAUCACAAGCAUGAUGCACAAAAGCCACCACAACAGAACACCACAGUGAACUACAUGCAUUGGCAUCAAAUAGCAGUGUUAGAGGCAAGAGAAGCACCCAAAGAGGCUGGGCUGCUGGGCUAAUGUUUUAUGACUCCUCUUGUACGUUUGUGCCCAACAAUACAGCUCCAGAUGGUUCGGUGACCCGAGUGCUGGAAGGACUGCGUUCCCUAAGAGAAGAACUUGCAGAGAACUCUGAAGUGGACACUAACAUGUUUGACUGGUCUGAUUCUGUAUUUGCUAAAUAAAAGGCCUCAGUGAUGCCCAUA